rnacentral:rRNA from 1 species
CACCAGCGCCACAAGUGGUCAUCACGAUUAUUGGGCCUAAAGCGUCCGUAGCUGGUGCGGUGCACUCCUGAUGAAUUGUCGGCUUAACCGAACAGCGUGCAGGGGACACGGCCGCGCUCGAGAUUGGGAGGGGGUAGAAGUAUUCCAUAGGGACCGGUAAAAUGGGAUAAUCUAUGGAGGACUACCGAUGGCGAAGGCAUCUACCCAGAACAAAUCUGACAGUGAGGGACGAAAGCCAGGGGAGCGAACC